AGCGUACACGGUGGAUGCCCUGGCAGUCAGAGGCGAUGAAGGACGUGCUAAUCUGCGAUAAGCGUCGGUAAGGUGAUAUGAACCGUUAUAACCGGCGAUUUCCGAAUGGGGAAACCCAGUGUGAUUCGUCACACUAUCAUUAACUGAAUCCAUAGGUUAAUGAGGCGAACCGGGGGAACUGAAACAUCUAAGUACCCCGAGGAAAAGAAAUCAACCGAGAUUCCCCCAGUAGCGGCGAGCGAACGGGGAGGAGCCCAGAGCCUGAAUCAGUGUGUGUGUUAGUGGAAGCGUCUGGAAAGGCGCGCGAUACAGGGUGACAGCCCCGUACACAAAAAUGCACAUACUGUGAGCUCGAUGAGUAGGGCGGGACACGUGGUAUCCUGUCUGAAUAUGGGGGGACCAUCCUCCAAGGCUAAAUACUCCUGACUGACCGAUAGUGAACCAGUACCGUGAGGGAAAGGCGAAAAGAACCCCGGCGAGGGGAGUGAAAAAGAACCUGAAACCGUGUACGUACAAGCAGUGGGAGCCUCUUUAUGGGGUGACUGCGUACCUUUUGUAUAAUGGGUCAGCGACUUAUAUUCUGUAGCAAGGUUAACCGAAUAGGGGAGCCGAAGGGAAACCGAGUCUUAACUGGGCGUUAAGUUGCAGGGUAUAGACCCGAAACCCGGUGAUCUAGCCAUGGGCAGGUUGAAGGUUGGGUAACACUAACUGGAGGACCGAACCGACUAAUGUUGAAAAAUUAGCGGAUGACUUGUGGCUGGGGGUGAAAGGCCAAUCAAACCGGGAGAUAGCUGGUUCUCCCCGAAAGCUAUUUAGGUAGCGCCUCGUGAAUUCAUCUCCGGGGGUAGAGCACUGUUUCGGCAAGGGGGUCAUCCCGACUUACCAACCCGAUGCAAACUGCGAAUACCGGAGAAUGUUAUCACGGGAGACACACGGCGGGUGCUAACGUCCGUCGUGAAGAGGGAAACAACCCAGACCGCCAGCUAAGGUCCCAAAGUCAUGGUUAAGUGGGAAACGAUGUGGGAAGGCCCAGACAGCCAGGAUGUUGGCUUAGAAGCAGCCAUCAUUUAAAGAAAGCGUAAUAGCUCACUGGUCGAGUCGGCCUGCGCGGAAGAUGUAACGGGGCUAAACCAUGCACCGAAGCUGCGGCAGCGACGCUUAUGCGUUGUUGGGUAGGGGAGCGUUCUGUAAGCCUGUGAAGGUGUACUGUGAGGUAUGCUGGAGGUAUCAGAAGUGCGAAUGCUGACAUAAGUAACGAUAAAGCGGGUGAAAAGCCCGCUCGCCGGAAGACCAAGGGUUCCUGUCCAACGUUAAUCGGGGCAGGGUGAGUCGACCCCUAAGGCGAGGCCGAAAGGCGUAGUCGAUGGGAAACAGGUUAAUAUUCCUGUACUUGGUGUUACUGCGAAGGGGGGACGGAGAAGGCUAUGUUGGCCGGGCGACGGUUGUCCCGGUUUAAGCGUGUAGGCUGGUUUUCCAGGCAAAUCCGGAAAAUCAAGGCUGAGGCGUGAUGACGAGGCACUACGGUGCUGAAGCAACAAAUGCCCUGCUUCCAGGAAAAGCCUCUAAGCAUCAGGUAACAUCAAAUCGUACCCCAAACCGACACAGGUGGUCAGGUAGAGAAUACCAAGGCGCUUGAGAGAACUCGGGUGAAGGAACUAGGCAAAAUGGUGCCGUAACUUCGGGAGAAGGCACGCUGAUAUGUAGGUGAAGCGACUUGCUCGUGGAGCUGAAAUCAGUCGAAGAUACCAGCUGGCUGCAACUGUUUAUUAAAAACACAGCACUGUGCAAACACGAAAGUGGACGUAUACGGUGUGACGCCUGCCCGGUGCCGGAAGGUUAAUUGAUGGGGUUAGCGCAAGCGAAGCUCUUGAUCGAAGCCCCGGUAAACGGCGGCCGUAACUAUAACGGUCCUAAGGUAGCGAAAUUCCUUGUCGGGUAAGUUCCGACCUGCACGAAUGGCGUAAUGAUGGCCAGGCUGUCUCCACCCGAGACUCAGUGAAAUUGAACUCGCUGUGAAGAUGCAGUGUACCCGCGGCAAGACGGAAAGACCCCGUGAACCUUUACUAUAGCUUGACACUGAACAUUGAGCCUUGAUGUGUAGGAUAGGUGGGAGGCUUUGAAGUGUGGACGCCAGUCUGCAUGGAGCCGGCCUUGAAAUACCACCCUUUAAUGUUUGAUGUUCUAACGUUGGCCCCUGAUCGGGGUUGCGGACAGUGUCUGGUGGGUAGUUUGACUGGGGCGGUCUCCUCCUAAAGAGUAACGGAGGAGCACGAAGGUUGGCUAAUCCUGGUCGGACAUCAGGAGGUUAGUGCAAUGGCAUAAGCCAGCUUGACUGCGAGCGUGACGGCGCGAGCAGGUGCGAAAGCAGGUCAUAGUGAUCCGGUGGUUCUGAAUGGAAGGGCCAUCGCUCAACGGAUAAAAGGUACUCCGGGGAUAACAGGCUGAUACCGCCCAAGAGUUCAUAUCGACGGCGGUGUUUGGCACCUCGAUGUCGGCUCAUCACAUCCUGGGGCUGAAGUAGGUCCCAAGGGUAUGGCUGUUCGCCAUUUAAAGUGGUACGCGAGCUGGGUUUAGAACGUCGUGAGACAGUUCGGUCCCUAUCUGCCGUGGGCGCUGGAGAACUGAGGGGGGCUGCUCCUAGUACGAGAGGACCGGAGUGGACGCAUCACUGGUGUUCGGGUUGUCAUGCCAAUGGCACUGCCCGGUAGCUAAAUGCGGAAGAGAUAAGUGCUGAAAGCAUCUAAGCACGAAACUUGCCCCGAGAUGAGUUCUCCCUGACUCCUUGA
rnacentral:rRNA from 1 species